GCUGGGAGUAUGAAGAUAUCAGGAAG
rnacentral:piRNA from 1 species